CGCCUUUCUAGGUCAUCCCUCCGCCACUGCGCCUGUCUUCCAAAAUCUGGCGGCGCACACAACCAAUUCGCCGCCGGCCUAUGACUCCACGCACCACUGCCAGGCCCCCACCUCUCCACCCGCCCUCCUUCCAUCUCCUCUCCGCAUGGCCGAUCUGUGAACAGAGCAAGCAUCAAUGGAGUAGGUUCCUCCUAAUCUCUCCACUCACCUCUCUCCUUUGGAUCAAGCUCCCUCCACCUGGAGGAAGGGCUGAAGCCGGGUCGAUUCCGUCGUGCGUUAGAGCUUAGAGGCGUCACCGCCGUGGCGCGUCACCGGGCCACGCACCGAGAGAGCAGCGCGGUUACUGGCUGCACGUUGGAGCCUUGGAGGUUGCUGGCUCGCAGCAGGCUGGGGCUGCUAGACAUGGAGAUCAGAUGGAGCAUAAGUCAGCGAGUACUUCAAUCUCAAGUUCGAGCUCCCCGUCCAGCCCCAUGUCUUCGUCUUCACAUGAAUCAGUCUUCUACUAUAUUUAGAGGUGGAUGCAAAUUUCUACACAAUCUUCGGCUUUCUUGAUGUUGCACUGAUUAUGUAAUCUGCGUAUGGGUUGAUAAUGAGUUAUAAAGCUCGGGUUGUCUAAACCUGAAAAUUCAGUGAGGUGUGAAUGUACAGUUCACUAUUAUACUUCAACAUGAUCAGGAUGCUUUAAUCAAAAGGAUUGGUUUAGUCAACCCAUAAGAUUGAUUCAUUACCUUGGAGUUCCAGAGCGAUUUUGUGUAGCAUGUUCUUCAGGUACUACAUGUUUAUCUUGCUAAGAAUGAUUCAAGUAUGGGUUUUCUAGACUACUUGUUGUAUAUCAGUGAAUGAUAAAGUUAGUUUUGAAAAUGUAUCUCUCUUUUGGCUUAUUUGUAUAUUUGAAUGUUUGAAAAAAUAAAGUUAGUUCGU